rnacentral:rRNA from 1 species
GGAAUUAUUGGGCGUAAAGGGCUCGUAGGCGGUUUGUCGCGUCGGGAGUGAAAUCCACUGGCUUAACUGGUGGCUUGCUUUCGAUACGGGCAGACUGGAGGUAUGCAGGGGAGAACGGAAUUCCUGGUGUAGCGGUGAAAUGCGCAGAUAUCAGGAGGAACACCGGUGGCGAAGGCGGUUCUCUGGGCAUGUCCUGACGCUGAGGAGCGAAAGUGUGGGGAGCGAACAGG